AUUGAACGCUGGCGGCAGGCCUAACACAUGCAAGUCGAGCGAGCGGCGGACGGGUGAGUAAUGCCUGGGAAACUGCCUGAUGGAGGGGGAUAACUACUGGAAACGGUAGCUAAUACCGCAUACCAUCGGAUGUGCCCAGAUGGGAUUAGCUAGUAGGUGGGGUAAAGGCUAACCUAGGCGACGAUCCCUACCUGGUCUGAGAUGAUGACCAGCAACACUGGAACUGAGACACGGUCCAGACUCCUACGGGAGGCAGCCGUGGGGAAUAUUGCACAAUGGGCGCAAGCCGGAUGCAGCCAUGCCGCGUGUAUGAAGAAGGCCUUCGGGUUGUAAAGUACUUUCAGCGGGGAGGCGUUACCCGCAGAAGAAGCACCUGCUAACUCCGUGCCAGCAGCCGCGGUAAUAC
rnacentral:rRNA from 1 species